GGAGGAGGACGAGGAAGACUAGGAGAACAAGGUGGACAAGGAAGACAAGGAUUUGUGCUCGGAAAGUCCGUCAAUGGAACGGUCUGCUGACUCCGAAGGAUCUCUACUGGAUGUGGAUGAAACUUUGGAAAGAAGUAAGGAGGUUCUAGGAUCACCAUUCUACGAAGAAAAACUGCGUCAGCUGUCAACUGGCCAACUAACAGAGCUUCUCGGUGAAAUGGAAUCCUUGGUCGGAGCGCUCAGCGAAACUUUAAUAGCUGAGUAUUAUUAUUAUUAAUAUUAGCUUACUUUUGUAAGUAUUUAUGAAUAUAGCCUCCAUGAAUAUUCAUUGUUGGUAUGUAAGG